GGAGUGGCGGAAACGGCGUGAGGCUGGUUUCACAGAGCAGCGUUACCGCCCGCUUCCAACGGUGGAAGGAUAACUGGCCGCUGCGACCCAGGCCCAAUUAGGUCCAUGUGCCCUCUCUGGCAGACCACCACUUUUU